AGUGAACGCUGGCGGUAGGCCUAACACAUGCAAGUCGAACGGCAGCACAGGAGAGCUUGCUCUCUGGGUGGCGAGUGGCGGACGGGUGAGGAAUACAUCGGAAUCUACCUUUUCGUGGGGGAUAACGUAGGGAAACUUACGCUAAUACCGCAUACUACCUACGGGUGAAAGUGGGGGACCGCAAGGCCUCACGCGAUUAGAUGAGCCGAUGUCCGAUUAGCUAGUUGGCGGGGUAAUGGCCCACCAAGGCGACGAUCGGUAGCUGGUCUGAGAGGAUGAUCAGCCACACUGGAACUGAGACACGGUCCAGACUCCUACGGGAGGCAGCAGUGGGGAAUAUUGGACAAUGGGCGCAAGCCUGAUCCAGCCAUACCGCGUGGGUGAAGAAGGCCUUCGGGUUGUAAAGCCCUUUUGUUGGGAAAGAAAUCCUGUCGAUUAAUACGCGGUGGGGAUGACGGUACCCAAAGAAUAAGCACCGGCUAACUUCGUG
rnacentral:rRNA from 1 species